UGGGGAAUAUUGCACAAUGGGCGCAAGCCUGAUGCAGCCAUGCCGCGUGUAUGAAGAAGGCCUUCGAGUUGUAAAGUACUUUCAGUCGGGAGGAAGGUGGUAAGGUUAAUAACCUUAUCAAUUGACGUUACCGACAGAAGAAGCACCGGCUAACUCCGUGCCAGCAGCCGCGGUAAUACGGAGGGUGCAAGCGUUAAUCGGAAUUACUGGGCGUAAAGCGCACGCAGGCGGUUGAUUGAGUCAGAUGUGAAAUCCCCGGGCUUAACCCGGGAAUUGCAUCUGAUACUGGUCAGCUAGAGUCUUGUAGAGGGGGGUAGAAUUCCAUGUGUAGCGGUGAAAUGCGUAGAGAUGUGGAGGAAUACCGGUGGCGAAGGCGGCCCCCUGGACAAAGACUGACGCUCAGGUGCGAAAGCGUGGGGAGCAAACAGG
rnacentral:rRNA from 1 species